CCCAACUGAGGCUUCCCCAAACCAGGUGUGUCAAGUUGACACCAAAGCUACCCAGCACAAGCUUCUAGGUCGAGACCGAGUUUCCCUGGGAUCCUGGGGGCCUAAACCAACACAGGAGGAGCAGACCUCUUGUCUUGAGAUCUAACCAGAACUCCAGGCAGGAAAGUCACUCCAUUUUUUUUGCCUUCACAUCUAUCACACCUGGAGACAAGAUGGACAUGAGACCAACUCUCACUCUCUUCUUCUACUUCCUGAAAGAUCUUCAAAAUGACCUGUGGCUGAUGCCUGGACCAGUCACCGAUUGGGAUUCCCUUGUUGAUGGAAUCCAAGAACUGUGGCUUCAAGGAACCUUUAUGUUCUAUACCCCAGAGUUGAUCCAGUUUUUCACAUUAUGUCUGUAUUUUAUUCUUUUCCCCGAAGGCAAUGCCCAAUAAAACUUUGGUUCCUAUCUCUCA